UACGGAGGGGACUAGCGUUGUUCGGAAUUACUGGGCGUAAAGCGCACGUAAGCGGAUUUGUAAGUCAGGGGUGAAAUCCCGGGGCUCAACCUGGGAACUGCGUCUGAUACUGGAUGGCUUGAAUCCGGGAGAGGGAUGCAGAAUUCCAGGUGUAGCGGUGAAAUGCGUAGAUAUCUGGAGGAAUACCGGUGGCGAAGGCGGCAUCCUGGACCGGCAUUGACGCUGAGGAGCGAAAGCCAGGGGAGCAAACGGG
rnacentral:rRNA from 1 species